rnacentral:rRNA from 1 species
GACGAACGCUGGCGGCGUGCUUAACACAUGCAAGUCGAACGGAAAGGCCCUGCUCUUGUUGGGUUCUCGAUUGGCGAACGGGUGAGUAACACGUGUGUAUCCUGCCCUUAUCUUUGUGAUAACAUCAGGAAACUGCGGCGAAUAUCGGAUAGGAGCUCCUGCUGCAUGGUGUGGGUUGGAAAGUUUCGGCGGUUGGGGCUGGUUUCGCGGGUUAUCAGCUUGCUGGUCGAGUAGGUGCUUACCAAGGCUUUGACGGGUAGCCGGCCUGAGAGGGUUAACGGCCACAUUGCGCCUGAGAUACGGAGCAGAAUGCAACGGGACGCAGCGGUGGGGAGUAUUGCACAGUGGGGGGAAGCCUGUUGCAGCAGCGCCGCGUGCGGGAUAACGGCCUUCGGGUUGUAAACAGCUUUCGCCGGUGACGAAGCGUGAGUGACGGUAAUGGGUAAGGAAGCACCGGCUAACUACGUG